UCAAUUGUCUGUUUGUGAUUGAAAAUCACGAGUGUCGGAUGUAGCGAUCGGCUUUAAAACAACUGGUUAGCCUAUGCUUUCCGUCAUAUGUCAAACGACAGCGUUAAGUCACUGACAGCAUAACUAGACGCGGAUUUUCUGUUCUUUAUAAUUAUAUCUGCAGAAACAAUGAAAAUCACCAUCGUUAUUACGCUGGCCACGGCUCUCAUGCUAGUGGACCUCAACAUCUGCGCUGAUGCCUGUCAGCCAAACUAUUGGGCUGAUGGAUGUAGCGGUGUCGCCGACUUUAAGUUCACAGAUGACUGUAACAAACACGAUAUAUGCUACGCUUGUGGCAACGCACUGGGUGUUUCACGCCUGAGCUGCGAUGACCGUUGGUAUGACAACAUGAUAAACACGUGCAACACCAAAGAGCACUGGUUCUGGCGACCCGGAUGUAAGUUGAUGGCUUGGAUUUACUACCGAUUGGAUCGGGACUGGGCAGAGAAGUCUUAUAGAGCUCCGUCCGUGGGGUUUUGCAAAGAAGCCUGGGUUCCCGCAUGUGUGUGAUGAUAAAAAGUAUAUUGCGUGAUGAAAUAGGCUUCAAAGUUGAUACUUAACAAUAUAUUUAUCUUGCACUUGUAGAACUUAAUUUGUUCCAUGACCAUGUAAUACUGAAUUGUUUUAUGCAAAAACAUAAUGUUUUUCAUUACUAUUCUGUCACAUACUUAUCUGAUAGUAAACUUGAUUUGUCUUGUUUUCAUUAAUUGUAUAAUAAAAUAGUACUUAAUAAUACUGUGAUAACAGACAUUCUAUGACCUGAAAUCAUUUAGAAAUACGCCUAAUAUUACUCAAUUUAUUUGAUAGCAUACGUUAACAAAUCAUUGAUUCUUAUGUUGCUUCCUAGUUGCUUCUGUUAUAUUUUAAGCAUGCUGCGUAUUACUUUCCCAUACUUGUACUAUGAUUAUUAAAAUGCCUUUGUAUGACCGAUCUUAAUAAACAUAUAAUAAACA